rnacentral:ncRNA from 1 species
UAAAGUUUUGGUCCUAAACUUGCCGCUGUUUUUGAUUAAAAUUACACAUGCAAGUAUCCGCACACCAGUGAAUACGCCCUAAAGUAAUAACGGAGCAGGUAUCAGGCACAACACCAAGCCCAAAACACCUAGCCAUGCCACACCCCCACGGGAAUUCAGCAGUGAUAAACAUUAGGCCAUGAGUAAACACCCACUAAACUCGACCUAGUUAUAAUCAACCAGGGCCGGCUAAUCUCGUGCCAGCCGCCGCGGUUAUACGAGAGGCCCAAACCAGCACCAAACGGCGUAAAUUGUGGCUAGAAUAUAUAAGCCAGUCGUAAAGAGAAAAACCAAAGCCUAACCGUAAAACCCAGGUAAAAUGAAUCCCCUUUACCAAAAGCAAUUUGAACCCACGAAAGCUAAGAAACAAACUAGGAUUAGAUACCCUACUAUGCUUAGACAUAAACAAGACCUUCACCAACAUAAAGGUCCGCCNGAGAACUACAAGCGAAAAGCUUAAAACUCAAAAGACUUGGCGGUGCCCCACACCCGACUUAGAGGAGCCUGUCCUAUAAUCGAUGAUCCACGAUAAACCUAACCACCCUUUGCCCCACCAGCCUAUAUACCGCCGUCGCAAACCUACCUCACAAGAGAUUAAAGCCGUAGGUUAAAUAGUAAAACACUAAAACGUCAGGUCAAGGUGUAGCUAAUAGGGUGGAAGAGAUGGGCUACAUUCUUUAAAACUAAAGAACACGGAAAGAACUAUGAAACACCUCCAAAAGGCGAAUUUAACAGUAAAGCUGGUAAGAAAACCAACUUUAAGCCCGCUCUGGGGCGCGCACACACCGCCCGUCACCCUCCUCCACAAACCUAAACCCAAUCCAUAAACCCCCAUAAAACAAAAGAUGAGGCAAGUCGUAACAUGGUAAGCGCACUGGAAAGUGUGCUUGGAACA